GGCAUGUGCUCAAAACAAGGGGCCUGAAAAAUGGCUCCGCUAUUUAUAACAUACCCAACUGGAAUCUGAGAUCACUGUGAUGAGGAGCGCAAAACUUGUGGCCUCCCUAUGAACAAAUUUUCUACAUGU
ensembl:snoRNA